GUGCCAGCCGCCGCGGUAAUACCGGUGGCUCGAGUGGUGGCCGCGAUUAUUGGGUCUAAAGGGUCCGUAGCCGGCCUGAUAAGUUAUCUGGGAAAUCCGGUGGCCUAACCAUCGGGCGGCCAGGUAAUACUAUCAGGCUCGGGACUAGGAGAGACCAGAGGUACUCAUGAGGUAGGAGUGAAAUCCUGUAAUCUUAUGAGGACCACCAGUGGUGAAGACGUCUGGUUAGAAUAGGUCCGACGGUGAGGGACGAAGGCUGGGGGCGCAAACCGGAUUAGAUACCCGGGUAGUCCCAGCAGUAAACGAUGCCAGCUAUGUGUUGCUGGAACCAUGGGUUCCAGCAGUGCCGAAGGGAAGCCGUGAAGCUGGCCACCUGGGAAGUACGGUCGCAAGGCUGAAACUUAAAGGAAUUGGCGGGGGAGUACCACAACCGGUGGAGCCUGCGGUUUAAUUGGAUACAACGCCGGGAAUCUUACCGGAGGGGACAGCAGUAUGAAGGCCAGGCUAAAGACCUUGCCAGAUCAGCUGAGAGGAGGUGCAUGGCCGUCGCCAGUUCGUACCGUGAGGCAUCCUGUUUAGUCAGGCAACGAUCGAGACCCGCAGUCUUAUUUGCCAGCAUGCCCUUUGGGGUGUAUGGGUA
rnacentral:rRNA from 1 species